rnacentral:rRNA from 1 species
UGGGGAAUAUUGGUCAAUGGGCGCAAGCCUGAACCAGCAAUGCCGCGUGAGUGAUGAAGGCCUUCGGGUUGUAAAGCUCUGUCGGGAGGGACGAAAAAACUCGGGUCACUCCGAGGCUUGACGGUACCUCCAAAGGAAGCACCGGCUAACUCUGUGCCAGCAGCCGCGGUAAUACAGAGGGUGCAAGCGUUGUUCGGAAUUACUGGGCGUAAAGCGCGUGUAGGCUGCAACGUCAGUCGGAUGUGAAAGCCCUUGGCUCAACCAAGGAAGUGCAUCCGAUACUGCGUCGCUUGAGUGUCGGAGGGGAUGGCGGAAUUCCCGGUGUAGAGGUGAAAUUCGUAGAUAUCGGGAGGAACACCUGUGGCGAAGGCGGCCAUCUGGACGAUAACUGACGCUGAGA